CCAGACUCCUACGGGAGGCAGCAGUGGGGAAUAUUGGGCAAUGGAGGCAACUCCUACCCAGCAAUGCCGCGUGAAUGAAGAAGGUCUUCGGAUUGUAAAGUUCUUUAAUUGGGGACGAAAAAAAUGACGGUACCCAAGGAAUAAGCCCCGGCUAACUACGUGCCAGCAGCCGCGGUAAUACGUAGGGGGCAAGCGUUAUCCGGAUUUACUGGGUGUAAAGGGUGCGCAGGUGGCAGGGCAAGUCAGAUGUGAAAGCCCGGGGCUCAACCCCGGUAUUGCAUUUGAAACUGUCCGGCUAGAGUGCAGGAGAGGUAAGCGGAAUUCCUAGUGUAGCGGUGAAAUGCGUAGAUAUUAGGAGGAACACCAGUGGCGAAGGCGGCUUACUGGACUGUAACUAACACUGAGGCACGAAAGCGUGGGGAGCAAACAGGAUUAGAUACCCCUGUAU
rnacentral:rRNA from 1 species